AUACGGAGGGCGCAAGCGUUACUCGGAAUCACUGGGCGUAAAGCGCGCGCAGGCGGUCUUUUAAGUUGGAUGUGAAAGCCUACAGCUCAACUGUAGAACUGCAUCCAAAACUAUUAGACUAGAGUCUGGGAGGGGAAGAUGGAAUUAGUUGUGUAGGGGUAAAAUCCGUAGAGAUAACUAGGAAUACCAAAAGCGAAGGCGAUCUUCUGGAACAGUACUGACGCUGAGGCGCGAAAGCGUGGGGAGCAAACAGGAUUAGAAACCCCAGUAGUCC
rnacentral:rRNA from 1 species